rnacentral:rRNA from 1 species
AACGAACGCUGGCGGCGCGUUUUAAGCAUGCAAGUCGGACGGCAAGUUGGGUAGCAAUACCUGACCUAGAGUGGCGAACGGGUGAGUAAGACGUAGGUGAUCUACCCCUGGAUGGGGGAUAGUCCGUGGAAACACGGGGUAAUACCGCAUGAGGCCUUGAGGGUGAAGCCUUGAGGUGAAAGCUUCAAUUGGAGCGUCUGGGGAUGAGCCUGCGGCCCAUUAGGCAGUUGGCGGGGUAACGGCCCACCAAACCGACGAUGGGUAGCCGGCCUGAGAGGGUGUACGGCCACACCGGAACUGAGACACGGUCCAGACUCCUACGGGAGGCAG